CACUAUCGUUAACUGAAUACAUAGGUUAACGAGGCGAACCGGGGGAACUGAAACAUCUAAGUACCCCGAGGAAAAGAAAUCAACCGAGAUUCCCCCAGUAGCGGCGAGCGAACGGGGAGCAGCCCAGAGUCUGAAUCAGCUUGUGUGUUAGUGGAACGGUCUGGAAAGUCCGACGGUACAGGGUGAUAGUCCCGUACACCAAAAUGCACAGGUUGUGAACUCGAAGAGUAGGGCGGGACACGUGGUAUCCUGUCUGAAUAUGGGGGGACCAUCCUCCAAGGCUAAAUACUCCUGACUGACCGAUAGUGAACCAGUACCGUGAGGGAAAGGCGAAAAGAACCCCGGCGAGGGGAGUGAAAAAGAACCUGAAACCGUGUACGUACAAGCAGUGGGAGCACCUUCGGGUGUGACUGCGUACCUUUUGUAUAAUGGGUCAGCGACUUAUAUUCUGUAGCAAGGUUAACCGUAUAGGGGAGCCGCAGGGAAACCGAGUCUUAACUGGGCGUUAAGUUGCAGGGUAUAGACCCGAAACCCGGUGAUCUAGCCAUGGGCAGGUUGAAGGUUGGGUAACACUAACUGGAGGACCGAACCGACUAAUGUUGAAAAAUUAGCGGAUGACUUGUGGCUGGGGGUGAAAGGCCAAUCAAACCGGGAGAUAGCUGGUUCUCCCCGAAAGCUAUUUAGGUAGCGCCUCGUGAACUCAUCUUCGGGGGUAGAGCACUGUUUCGGCUAGGGGGUCAUCCCGACUUACCAACCCGAUGCAAACUACGAAUACCGAAGAAUGUUAUCACGGGAGACACACGGCGGGUGCUAACGUCCGUCGUGAAGAGGGAAACAACCCAGACCGCCAGCUAAGGUCCCAAAGUCAUGGUUAAGUGGGAAACGAUGUGGGAAGGCACAGACAGCCAGGAUGUUGGCUUAGAAGCAGCCAUCAUUUAAAGAAAGCGUAAUAGCUCACUGGUCGAGUCGGCCUGCGCGGAAGAUGUAACGGGGCUAAACCAUGCACCGAAGCUGCGGCAGCGACACUAUGUGUUGUUGGGUAGGGGAGCGUUCUGUAAGCCUGCGAAGGUGACCUGUGAGGGUUGCUGGAGGUAUCAGAAGUGCGAAUGCUGACAUAAGUAACGAUAAAGCGGGUGAAAAGCCCGCUCGCCGGAAGACCAAGGGUUCCUGUCCAACGUUAAUCGGGGCAGGGUGAGUCGACCCCUAAGGCGAGGCCGAAAGGCGUAGUCGAUGGGAAACAGGUUAAUAUUCCUGUACUUGGUGUUACUGCGAAGGGGGGACGGAGAAGGCUAUGUUAGCCGGGCGACGGUUGUCCCGGUUUAAGCAUGUAGGCUG
rnacentral:rRNA from 1 species